rnacentral:rRNA from 1 species
UAAGGAAUAUUGGACAAUGGGGGCAACCCUGAUCCAGCCAUGCCGCGUGAAGGAUGACGGCCCUCUGGGUUGUAAACUUCUUUUGUACGGGAAUAAACCCUUCUACGUGUAGAAGGUUGAAUGUACCGUAAGAAUAAGGAUCGGCUAACUUCGUGCCAGCAGCCGCGGUAAUACGAAGGAUCCAAGCGUUAUCCGGAUUUAUUGGGUUUAAAGGGUGCGUAGGCGGGCUAUUAAGUCAGUGGUGAAAGCCUGCAGCUUAACUGCAGAAUUGCCAUUGAUACUGAUGGUCUUGAGUACACUUGAGGUAGGCGGAAUGUGUCAUGUAGCGGUGAAAUGCUUAGAUAUGACACAGAACACCGAUUGCGAAGGCAGCUUACUAAAUUGUAACUGACGCUGAGGCACGAAAGCGUGGGGAUCAAACAG